GUGCUGGCUGUGGCAGCACAUAUACUAGAAUUAGAAUGUUACAGAGAAGAUCAGCCUGGCCCCUGCACAAGGAUGACAUGCAAAUUCAUGAAACAUUCCGUAUUUUU
rnacentral:snRNA from 2 species